UGCUUAGCAACUCCAAUAUCUACCUCCCCGUGGUACCGGCUGGAAACUACGAGCAACUUUAGGAAAUAUUGG
rnacentral:ribozyme from 1 species